AUUCACAAAAAUCAUGCUUCCAAGGAAUCCUAAAACAGGAAGCCCUUUCACAGAGAUCAGUUUAACUCACUGACCUUCCCAUUCUUCCUAUGCAAAAGGCUCACAGCCUACAUUAAUGUAUGCAAUAUUCAUAUAAAAUUACUGCAAUCUGCAGCAUGAGAUAAGGAUCUGAUUUUCCUUCUUCAAUUUGAUUAAUAGUUUGUUUUUUCGGAUAACCCAGCCACCAUAAGUUCCUUGGAACGACUACUUUAAACUUCUGUGAGCCAAAACAUAAUUUCAGUGACCAAAAUUGCAGGUUAGAGUUACAUAGGCAUCCACCUAUUCACUAUAAGUAGUUAAAAGGAAUGCACACAGUAACAUGAUGGCAAUCAAGGACAUUCAAACACUUCUUCGAGACAAAUGGCAGCAUACAAGCUCCCAAUACUCUAAACUAUUGUAGGAAUUUUCAAAAGAUACUCUAUAUUUGUACAGAGUUGAGUAAUUCAUCACAAAGGAACUUAAGAAGAAAGGAG
rnacentral:lncRNA from 1 species